CACACUGGCUUGUCCCGUCGCCGUGCCCACUGCCGUCGAACCUCUUUUGAGAGCGUGGUCGGCCUCGUCGGCAAUGUCGGCUUACAAGGUUCAUCUGGACCACGAGCAGGGCGGGGAUAAGACCCGAAAGCGUAACAUUUAAAUAUCGCGUUAAUUGGCUUGCAUUUGCACUCCAUGGCUGUCCUGUGGGCUAAUCGGGAACCUUGGAACAUACUGCAGCGCACGUAUCGGCAGCAGCUAACUGCGCUGCUAAGGGAAGCGGGCCUCGCUGUCGGUCCGACUGCCGACACGCCCGACUGGCGGUAAUCGCAUUUGUACCGGCCAUAGUGCAUCGGGUGGAACACACACUGCAGCGGACCUACAGGCAGCCAAAUAACUGCGCUGCUGAGAGAAGCGGGCCUUGCGGUGGGUCCGACCUCCAGCACGCC